AGCCAAUAAAAAUGUGGUGCUGUGAG
rnacentral:piRNA from 1 species